rnacentral:rRNA from 1 species
GACGAACGCUGGCGGCGUGCUUAACACAUGCAAGUCGAACGAAGUGGCGGACGGGUGAGUAACGCGUAAUCAACCUGCCCUUCAGAGGGGGUCAACAGUGGGAAACGUCUGCUAAUCCCGCAUACUGAAGGAGGGGAUGGCGUCUGAUUAGCUAGUUGGAGGGGUAACGGCCCGCCAAGGCGAUGAUCAGUAGCCGGUCUGAGAGGAUGAACGGCCACAUUGGGACUGAGACACGGGCCAGACUCCUACGGGAGGCAGCAGUGGGGAAUCUUCCGCAAUGGACGAAAGUCUGACGGAGCAACGCCGCGUGAGUGAUGACGGCCUUCGGGUUGUAAAGCUCUGUUAAUCGGGACGCGGUACCGGAAUAGAAAGCCACGGCUAACUACGUGCCAGCAGCCGCGGUAAUUC